rnacentral:misc_RNA from 1 species
AAUUCUCAAACCCAUCAGCCUUUGUUGUUGGGCUUUGGAUGUGGAGGUUUUGCCGGCCUUUGUAGGGUCAGCUCCUCUGAAAUACAUUAGCGGAACCGUUUGCGAUCCGUCACAGGUGUGAUAAUUAUCUACACCCAUGGGUUGCUCUCUGUCUUGUUCAGCUGCCAACUGUCUGUAAGGGACAACUAUUACUGAAU